rnacentral:rRNA from 1 species
CUACGGGGCGCAGCAGUGGGGAAUAUUGCACAAUGGGCGCAAGCCUGAUGCAGCCAUGCCGCGUGUAUGAAGAAGGCCUUCGGGUUGUAAAGUACUUUCAGCGGGGAGGAAGGGAGUAAAGUUAAUACCUUUGCUCAUUGACGUUACCCGCAGAAGAAGCACCGGCUAACUCCGUGCCAGCAGCCGCGGUCAUACGGAGGGUGCAAGCGUUAAUCGGAAUUACUGGGCGUAAAGCGCACGCAGGCGGUUUGUUAAGUCAGAUAUGAAAUCCCCGGGCUCAACCUGGGAACUGCAUCUGAUACUGGCAAGCUUGAGUCUCGUAGAGGGGGGUAGAAUUCCAGGUGUAGCGGUGAAAUGCGUAGAGAUCUGGAGGAAUACCGGUGGCGAAGGCGGCCCCCUGGACGAAGACUGACGCUCAGGUGCGAAAGCGUGGGGAGCAAACAGGAUUAGAUACCCUCGUAGUC